UUCCCUUUUCCUCAUUAGCAAAGACUCAAACAAGUAUCCAUCCACAACCCAUCCUCAUCUUACCUGAUCCAAGAGCUAGGCCAAAUGGUUUUCAAAAUAUUCAAUUGUGCAAUUUUAACUAAACACUAAAGAGGUUUACUAUAUUAGACAAGAUACUUCAUAUAGAACUAUUCCCUUGGCAUUUUGUGAUUAGCUUUGAUUCAAGAAAUGUCAUAUGACUGAUGUAGAUAAGAGUCAGUCAUCAUCAUAUGAAUUAGAUGGAAUAUUAGAAAAGCAACAUAAUCUAUCCGAUGGAAGUAAAGAUGAAUGCAUAAUGCAAGAUAAUUUCACCAGAAAUUACCUUGUUGCAUCAAAUCCUCCAAUGUAGCUGUACUUGGAUGCUCCUAUUCCACCAUCAGGUCCCUACAAGUAAU
rnacentral:lncRNA from 1 species